rnacentral:rRNA from 1 species
UACGGGGGGAGCAAGCGUUGUUCGGAUUUACUGGGCGUAAAGGGCGCGUAGGCGGCCACCGCAAGUCAAUCGUGAAAUCUCCGGGCUUAACUCGGAAAGGUCAACUGAUACUGCGGGGCUAGAGUGCGGAAGGGGCAACUGGAAUUCUCGGUGUAGCGGUGAAAUGCGUAGAUAUCGAGAGGAACACCUGCGGCGAAGGCGGGUUGCUGGGCCGACACUGACGCUGAUGCGCGAAAGCCAGGGGAGCGAACGGG